rnacentral:rRNA from 1 species
GAUGAACGCUGGCGGCGUGCCUAAUACAUGCAAGUCGAGCGAACAGAUGAGGAGCUUGCUCCUCUGACGUUAGCGGCGGACGGGUGAGUAACACGUGGAUAACCUACCUAUAAGACUGGGAUAACUUCGGGAAACCGGAGCUAAUACCGGAUAAUAUAUUGAACCGCAUGGUUCAAUAGUGAAAGACGGUUUUGCUGUCACUUAUAGAUGGAUCCGCGCCGCAUUAGCUAGUUGGUAAGGUAAUGGCUUACCAAGGCAACGAUGCGUAGCCGACCUGAGAGGGUGAUCGGCCACACUGGAACUGAGACACGGUCCAGACUCCUACGGGAGGCAGCAGUAGGGAAUCUUCCGCAAUGGGCGAAAGCCUGACGGAGCAACGCCGCGUGAGUGAUGAAGGUCUUCGGAUCGUAAAACUCUGUUAUUAGGGAAGAACAAAUGUGUAAGUAACUAUGCACGUCUUGACGGUACCUAAUCAGAAAGCCACGGCUAACUACGUG